UACGUAGGGUCCGAGCGUUGUCCGGAAUCACUGGGCGUAAAGCGCACGUAGGCGGACUCUUAAGUCGGUGGUGAAAUCCUGGAGCUCAACUCCAGAACUGCCUUCGAUACUGAGAGUCUCGAGUCCGGGAGAGGUGAGUGGAACUGCGAGUGUAGAGGUGAAAUUCGUAGAUAUUCGCAAGAACACCAGUGGCGAAGGCGGCUCACUGGCCCGGUACUGACGCUGAGGUGCGAAAGCGUGGGGAGCAAACAGG
rnacentral:rRNA from 1 species